rnacentral:misc_RNA from 1 species
GAUGAAGAACGUAGCGAAAUGCGAUAAGUAAUGUGAAUUGCAGAAUUCAGUGAAUCAUCGAAUCUUUGAACGCACAUUGCGCCCGCCAGUAUUCUGGCGGGCAUGCCUGUUCGAGCGUCAUUUCAACCCUCAAGCCCAGCUUGGUGUUGGGGAUCGGCACAGGCGCCCUCGGGCGCCCGCCGUCCCCUAAAUCUAGUGGCGGUCCCGCUGCAGCCUCCUCUGCGUAGUAGUUUUCUCCUCGCAAGGGCAGCUCGAUGGCGACCUCGCCGUAAAACCCCCAACUUCUGAAAGGUUGACCUCGAAUCAGGUAGGAAUACCCGCUGAACUUAAGCAUAUCAAUAAGCGGAGGA